rnacentral:rRNA from 1 species
UACGGGGGGAGCAAGCGUUGUUCGGAUUUACUGGGCGUAAAGGGCGCGUAGGCGGCCUUGUCAGUCAGGCGUGAAAGCCCCGGGCUCAACCUGGGAACGGCGCUUGGGACGGCGAGGCUGGAGUUCGGGAGAGGAGAGUGGAAUUCCCAGUGUAGAGGUGAAAUUCGUAGAUAUUGGGAAGAACACCGGUGGCGAAGGCGGCUCUCUGGACCGACACUGACGCUGAGGCGCGAAAGCGUGGGGAGCAAACAGG